rnacentral:lncRNA from 1 species
GUCAAACAAGACACAUCUGUGAACUCUGUGCAGGCUUAGGAGCUGGCAGUUAUGGACCUCUGAUGUACAUGACGUGAGAAGAGGGAACACCAAGUUCUUAUUUGUCCAGCUGGCUCGAAGCUGUUAGGAUGAGCCCUGCAGCUGGAUGAAGCAACUUGUUAAUUAUGGGUUGCCAAACAGUGCUAGACUCUAGGUCAGUCUGGAACAUCCAGGUUCUAAUCAGAAACUCGGGAGCAAAUUCAACUUGGAGAUGAACAGACGUAUUAUCAGUGACUGCUGUUUGGGCUGCUGUUCAAUUUUGGAAAAUUCCUGAACCCUUGAUUGACUUCUACCGAAAACCAGAGCUGAGUUUCUCCCCCAGAAACGGUCCCGGAACUGUGUGAGCACAGAUAUGUCUGGGAGCUACUGGCUUCCAGCAGGUAAGAUAAGAAAUCUGUUAAAUCACAGGCUGAUGAAAACAUACAAGCAAACACACCGAAAAAAAGUUCAAAUUUGUGGUUAACCAAGGCAGGGAUAUUGGGGGAGGGGAAUUGGAUGAAGGCAGUCAGAAGAUACUGUGUAUGUCCAUUUAUAAGAUAAACAAGUCCUAGGAAUGGAACAUGUGACAUGAUGAAUACACUGUAAUUAAUACAGCUGUAUAUUAUAUACUAUGCUUGAUCUUAGCCAAAAGGCCGAGAAGCGAUGUAAAAGUUAAGAGAGUAAAUCCUCAGAGUUCUCAUCACACACAAUUUUUUUCUGUUUCUUUCAUUUUGCAUCUAUAGGAGAUGAUGUUCACUAAACUUACUGUGAUAAUCAUUUCAGGAUGUAUGUAAAUCAAAUCACAAUGCUAUAUGCUUUAAACUUAUAAAAUGUUCUAUGUCAAUUAUAUCUCAAUAAAACUGGAAGGAAAAAAGAAAUUUGUUAAAUCAUUCUGCAGUUUCAUCUGAGGGAAGGUAAUAGGUGUGCUGGGGCUGUGGCAAUCAAGUUUGGCUCCUUUGGGGGUGGUGGGGAGAAGACUGGGAGAGAUUAUAUAUUUUUCAUUCACUACUGACAGAGGUGUUUCUUUAGGUAAUAUUUGCACUCAUCAGACUUGCGGAAUGUACCAACAUUCUGUGCUGUUUGAACCAGGAUCACUGCCAGGAAAAUGCAACACACAAAAAUUGUUCCAGUUACGAAGGGACAAAGUUCAUUAGCAUCUGGAACUGAAGCUUUACAGACAGUGGCCGAUAUAGCAUUGUAACUUUCCUCCCUUUUUUAAAUUGCCAUUGGACUUAUAAUUAAUAAUAAAGCUUGACUUUUGUUCUUCUGUUUUCA